GCACAGGGGACAGCCCGUCGCUUCCCGGCUCCCAGGACAGCAGCACGCUGCGGGCCUUCACGUCCUCCUGCUGUACCACCGGCUUACUGGGGGGCUGUGGGCGGUCUGGGAGUCGGCGGAGGAGGGUAGGAGCAGGUCCCAACAGCCGGCACCCUGGCUCCUGGCCCAUGACCUGUCCUCAGGCCGCGAGAGGCCUGGGUGCCUGGGAAUUCACCUCCCCUGAGGGCAGCCUGGUAAGCGAGGAGGUACGAACACCCAGCUCCUGUGCUCCCCGCCCGCCCAGAGCUGAGAUGGGGCCUGCGCUGGCCCCGGUUGAUGGGACCGAGCUGCCUGGGUGGGGCUCUGCUGUCGGCCCUGCCCCAGCUCGGCUUUCUUCUCGCUGCCCAGGACCUCCUGCAGCAGUCCUCAGCCUCAGCACUCUGGCAUUUGAGGCCGAUGGUUCUGGGGCCUGGGGCCGUCCCAUGGACUGUAGAUGCCAGUCACAGCUCCCUGUUAGGUGUGACAGUGUCUCCAGACAUUGCCAACGUUCCCAGGGGGGCAAAGCAGUCCCCUGUUGAGACCCACUGUCCUACUGGUUUUUCCUGGGGACACGGUCUAAUGAACCACUUUCACAGGAAUCUGGGUCCCAGCCUGCUUCAGGGAAACCCGACCUCAGGCGAGGCACCAGCUCAGGGCCGCAGGCCGAUGAGCCCCUCCUCCCCCCAACUGGACACCAUCUUUGUUGCGGGGAGGGGAGAGGGGAAGGAAGCUGGUCUCACCAACCCUCCCUCUGCUGAGGCAGAGCAUGAGCCUUGGAAGGAGAACUCCCAGCUCAGCUUCUAGAAGUCCCCUAGAGCCCUCGCUGACCCGGACAUCAGAGAUUUGAGCCCACUUUCCACUCCAGGUGAGGGCAAUGUGGCUCUUAACUAGCUGAUCCCCAGCCGCCCGCUAGGACAGGAUGGGAACGCCUGGGUUGGCUGGGACUCCCCCUUGGCUGCCCCCAGGCCGCCCCAGCCCCAGUGGGCAGUCACCUCUCUUCUCAGUGGUCACCACCAAGGCCUCGGCGGCCUCCCCCCAGCCCUUGCGGGUCUGGGCAGUGAUGCGGAACAGGUAGACGGACUCUGGCUUGAGGCCGGUGGCCGUGUACUGGCGGGCGCUGGGCGCGAGCACCUCCACUGUGGCCGUGUUGGCCGUGGUGGCGUUGAGCCGGUGUGUCACCUGGUAGGCUGCAGGAAGAAAGGACAUGGGCUGUGUUGGGAAGCAGGGCAGCCGUCCCCAGUGCCCUGAGAUGCGGUUGUUCCUUCCUUGCCACCACGAUGUCUGCACCUGGGCUACCUUGGCUGUGGUUCGUCUGCGUGAAGCCCUCUCGGUCAUUCUUGUGUCCUCAGCUCCCACUUGGGGAGUGUGACUGUGGGGGACACUCUAUACGGAGAGUCUGACCCCCAUAACAGCUUCAGGCGAGGAAACUGAUGCUUGGAGAGGGCCAGACCACCUGCUAGGAAGUGACUGAGGGGAGUUCAGGCUCAUGGCUUUCCGGGCACGUGCCCUUCCUGGUCUCCACGCUGCCUUCUGAGACGCAGCAUUCCUCUGGGACAGGCACCGCGGGACGCCAGGCCUGAGAGCCCCGGAAGCGGCCCGGCUCGUGCAAUCCAUCAUUCUACAGGUGCAGGGGCUGAGGCUGUGGAGGGAUCCGGCCUGCUCGAGUUCACGCAGCUGCUGACUUCAACCCUAAAAAACUGCGCUACAUGGAGAAUUCCAUUCUGAGGCGAGGACCCCUCCAGUGCAUCAGAACACAGUUUUCCAUCUGUGGGUCCCUGGAGGUCCUUGGAAGGUGGGCCUGUGGCUAUAUUGCAAGAGAUCCACGAAUCCCUUUGUCAAUGAAGGACUGUCUGGAGAAUGGGGGCGCCUGGGUGGCUCAGCCGGUUAAGUGUCUGACUUCGGCUCAGGUCAUGAUCUCACAGUUCAUGAGUUCAAGCCCUGCAUCGGGCUCUGUGCUGACAGCUCGGAGCCUGGACCCCGCUUCAGAUUCUGUGUCUCCCUCUCUCUCUUUGCCUCUUCCCCGCUUGUGCUCUCUCUCUCUCUCUCAAAAAUAAACUUAAAAAAAAAAGAAUCGUCUAGAGAAUGAAUAAAAUAUGCAAGUAUUUUCCAAAUACUAGAUGACGUUUUAAUAAAUAAAACGCCAACUUAUUUUAAAGUGUUACUGAAUUAACCAUAGUUUUUUUUAUUAUAAAAUUUUUCAAUUAAUGGGUGCUAAAAUUAUAGCUACUUAUGUAUAGAACUGAGACUCACAGCGGUAUUCUAUGGGGAGGAACAUGUGGGUUCUCUUGGAGAACAUUUUUAUGGUUGAUAUAUUUAUUUUUUACAAAAAUUGAAUAAUCCCAGGAAUAAGCAUAUUCUGAAUCAUGUGUUGACAACAUAUUAACUACAUCUCUGUGAUUUCAAGGCUCACUGCUUGCGUUUGUGCCGGCAGCACACGACGACUGCCCUAAAUAUCAAUGUUUAAUGUUCAAGGAGGUGUUUCUCAAACUGGAGGCCCGCAGCGCAUUGGCCGAGGACGGAUGUGUGUCUAAAAGUCUAGGAA